CGAUUGCAUUGGUCAUCAACCGUCUUUUUUACAUGACCACGGAAUCAAAAACAUCAACAACAGCAAAUGAGUGGCGUGUUACGAUCGAAAACACAGCACUCCAUGCGCCAUGCCAAGAAGUUUAAGUUGCAGGGCCCACGGAACAAUUGAAGACCGGAAGAAGCUCGCGGAGUAGGGUAACUGCUCUUCCGCUUAGCUUAGCUAAGCUGUUUACCAUGAAAAGGAGGCAGAUCGAUACCUGUGGACCAAGUCUCUCUCCAACCUACCUAAAUUGUCCUACGACAACGUCCUAAGGAUCGUAAAUCAGCACUCACGUGUCGAUACAUCUAAACUACGCAAAGGAUAUAAGUUCUUCUGGGAGAAGUACAUUUUUAAUUACAAAGACACAUGACUACCACUUCACAGGGGAGCAAAGCGUGCCAACACCUCUGUCGUGCACCAGUGUUCUGCAGUCGUGGACCAAGGACACAGGUUUAUGUGUAUACCUCAGGCCUAGCCAAACAUCCUAUAGUCUACUCAAUAAUAGUAUUAGGAGUUCUUGUAUAUAGACAGACCCGACUAACACUGACUUAAGUGUUGCUACACUGACAAUAUGAUUUAUUUGCUGACAUUUUUUUCUUUUUGCUCCAGGGGAUUCGCUCCAGGGGAUUCGCCCGGAACCCACUGACCAACUUGUGGUCAGGAAACCCAAGGUUUGGGUUAGGUGUUUUAUUUUAACACAUACAUGGACACAUACCUCCUGAAUGCCAAGUAAACAUGGCCGAGGGACACACACACACAUUUCAUUUAUUUAUUUCUGUUAAAUGUAUAUAUGUAAAUAUUUUAAUCAAAGAAUUGGAAAAAAACAUUCCUGAACAUUUGUUUAAGGUAACACACUCUGAGCACCUUUUAAAACAAGCCUGAAGACUUUUGUUUCCAUUAGCUUUCUGCUACAUCUUAAAUACAUUGCACUUUCUAAAAAGCUUUUUGAACUUUGCCUUUAUUUUCUAUUUUAAUACUAAAAUGCCUUUAACUUUCUAUUUUACUCAUUUCUUUGCAUAUGUUUUCUUUUACUUAUCUAUUUUAUUGUAUGACAAUGUUUAUAUGUGAAGCACUUUGAGUUUGCCUUGUGUAUGAAAAGUGCUAUAUAAAUAAAGUUGCCUUGCCUAACACACACAGAACAUUUCAUUUCUUUCUGUUAAAUGUAAAUAUGUAUAUAUGUAAAUUUAUAUUUAAAAAAAAAAAGAAUUGGAAAAAUUAAAUAAACAUUUGAAAAGGACGGACGGACACAAACACACAAUUUUAAUUUCUUUCUGCUAAAUGUAAACAAAGAACAUUAAUAAACGUUUGAAAAUAGU
ensembl:lncRNA